UACGGAGGGGGCUAGCGUUGUUCGGAAUUACUGGGCGUAAAGCGCACGUAGGCGGACCAGCAAGUUGGGGGUGAAAUCCCGGGGCUCAACCCCGGAACUGCCUUCAAAACUGCGGGUCUGGAGGUCGAGAGAGGUGAGUGGAAUUCCGAGUGUAGAGGUGAAAUUCGUAGAUAUCGGGAGGAACACCAGAGGCGAAGGCGGCGACCUGGAAGGUGACUGACACUGAGCAGCGAAAGCGUGGGUAGCAAACAGG
rnacentral:rRNA from 1 species